rnacentral:rRNA from 1 species
AUUGAACGCUGGCGGCAGGCUUAACACAUGCAAGUCGAGCGGAGAGAGGUAGCUUGCUACUGAUCUUAGCGGCGGACGGGUGAGUAAUGCUUAGGAAUCUGCCUAUUAGUGGGGGACAACAUUUCGAAAGGAAUGCUAAUACCGCAUACGUCCUACGGGAGAAAGCAGGGGAUCUUCGGACCUUGCGCUAAUAGAUGAGCCUAGGUCGGAUUAGCUAGUUGGUGGGGUAAAGGCUCACCAAGGCGACGAUCCGUAACUGGUCUGAGAGGAUGAUCAGUCACACUGGAACUGAGACACGGUCCAGACUCCUACGGGAGGCAGCAGUGGGGAAUAUUGGACAAUGGGCGAAAGCCUGAUCCAGCCAUGCCGCGUGUGUGAAGAAGGUCUUCGGAUUGUAAAGCACUUUAAGUUGGGAGGAAGGGCAGUAAGCUAAUACCUUGCUGUUUUGACGUUACCGACAGAAUAAGCACCGGCUAACUUCGUGCCAGCAGCCGCAGUAACAC